AUGGUAGUCAGCAAGAACAUACCUUAUAAAAGGCAGCCAAAAGGGAGCCAAGAAAAAAGUGGUUGAUCCAUUUUCUAAGAAAAAAAAUUGUUCUGACAUUGAAGCACUGACAUUGAAAUACUGGGGCCGGGCAAAUACUGGGAAAAUACUAGUCAUGAGGACUCAAGGAACCAAAAAUCACCUCUGAUGGCCUCAAAGAUUAGGGGUUUAAAGUGAGCCUUGCUGAUCUGCUGAAGGAUGAAGUUGCAUUUAGAAAAUUGAAGCUAAUUACUGAGAAUGUCCAGGGCAAGAACUGUUUGACCAACAUCCAUGAUAUGGAUCUCAUCUGGGACAAAAUGUACUCCAUGGUCAAAAAGUGGCCGACCAUGAUUGAAGCUCGUGUUGAUGUCAAGACUACAGAUGGUUAUUUGCUUGGUCGGUUCUGUGUUGGUUUUACUAUGCAAGACCUCCUAUCCUCAGCACAGCAGGUCUGCCAGAUCUGAAGGAGGAUGAUGGACACCAUGAUCCGAGAAGUACAUACAAAUACUUGAAAGAAGUAAUUGAUUAACCAAUUCCAGCACUGGGAAAGACAUAGAAAAGGCUUGCCAGUCUAUUUAUCUUGCCAGUUCAUGAUAUCUUCGUCAGAAAAGUAAAAAUGCUGAAGAAGCUCAAGUUUGAAUUGGGAAAACUCAUGGAGCUUCAUGGUGAAGGCAGUAGUUCUGGAAAAGCUACUGGAGGGCUGGGAAGGUGGCUCAGUGAUGAAACUGAUGCCAAAGUCGAGUAAGCUGAUGGAUACAAACCCGCAGUCCAAGAAUCUGUUUAAAAUUCAUAUUUUUAAUAAUGACAAAUAAAAAGCCUAUUUGUGAUGAGCCUGGUGCU